CACGUAGGGUGCGAGCGUUGUCCGGAUUUAUUGGGCGUAAAGAGCGUGUAGGCGGCUUGGUAGGUCCGCUGUGAAAACUCGAGGCUCAACCUCGAGAUGUCGGCGGAAACCACUUGGCUAGAGUCCGGAAGAGGAGAGUGGAAUUCCUGGUGUAGCGGUGAAAUGCGUAGAUAUCAGGAGGAACACCGGUGGUGUAAACGGCUUUCUGGACCAUAACUGACACUGAGGCACGAAAGCGUGGGUAGCAAACAGG
rnacentral:rRNA from 1 species